rnacentral:rRNA from 1 species
GAUGAACGCUGGCGGUAUGCUUAGCACAUGCAAGUCGAACGGACUCUUCGGAGUUAGUGGCGGACGGGUGAGUAACGCGUGAGAAUCUGGCUUUGGGUUCGGGACAACCACUGGAAACGGUGGCUAAUACCGGAUGUGCCGAGAGGUAAAAGAGAAAUUGCCUGAAGAUGAGCUCGCGUCUGAUUAGCUAGUUGGUGAGGUAAAGGCUCACCAAGGCAGCGAUCAGUAGCUGGUCUGAGAGGAUGACCAGCCACACUGGGACUGAGACACGGCCCAGACUCCUACGGGAGGCAGCAGUGGGGAAUUUUCCGCAAUGGGCGAAAGCCUGACGGAGCAAUACCGCGUGAGGGAAGAAGGCUCUUGGGUUGUAAACCUCUUUUCUUAGGGAAGAACAAAAUGACGGUACCGAAGGAAUCAGCAUCGGCGAACUCCGU